GAACAGAGCGGUGCCUUCCUCCUUACGCAAGGGAAGCUUGAGCUUACCUGCAAAACAGAGGUGAGAGCAAAAAACUGCGAAGCAAUGGUGGCAGAAGAGGAUUCAGCAAGGCAGUUGGUCAGUUCCUCUCUAACUUCCCCUUAGUUAAGUUGUUUGGAUUUUGGGCUGCUGUUGUGGUUGGCUGUUUCUGCUUGCACGCUCGCAGCAAGGACGUCCCUCCCUCCCUGCCAGGGCUCUUCAGUCUCCUGCUGGCAGGGCAAAGGGCAACCACAGCUCGCCUGGCGGAUGGCAGAUGGUUCAAAACUAGCUACAUCCCUGAAUGUCAGGGAAGGCAACUGAGCAUGUGACGUUCUGUGCAGGGAAGGGAGGUGGGUUGGAAGAGGCAGAGGUUAAGAAUGCAGCCCGGAGAACGGCAGGGGGAAUGCUAAAAUGUUUGUCCUGUGCUCUGUAAAUAUAGCAGAUAUGCCCGGAUUUCAAACACGGUUUAGCAACAGUCUCACACACACAGUUUCAUGGACAGCUUCUUUCUUUCUGCAUUGUCUGCAGGAACAGGAACAGUGACGCUAAACGGCAAACAGUGGGAGCCGUUCCAGUAUCAAUAAGGAUUUUGACAAGGGAGCGAGUUUGUUUGCUUGGCUGCAAAGGCCUUGGAAUCCAGUGCAUUAGACACAAUUAUACACACUCCAUCUUCUGUGAGCGUCACUCCCAGCUGGCACGAGAGGUCUGAGACUGUCGGCACAUCAGGAAAAAUCCUCCUAAAAGCCUGGAGUGUGCAGGAUGAAUUCCCACCUUUGUUCUUGAGGGAACAGCACUAAGCACCACCAAAGACUGGUGCCUUUCUGUCAACUUAAAGCAUGACCACCGACAAGAGGUAGCAAAUGAAAGCAGUGACAAUAUGGAGAGGAAGGGGCAAAGGCUGUGCAAAGAAAAACCAUGCAGAAGAAGGCCGGGUUUGCUGUACGYUCCUCGUACCAGUGAAAGGACUCCUGUCCCUAGUCCGGACUCACUGAUUCUGAGAGGCACAAACUCUGUACAUCUCCAGGAGAUCUUGGCUCUUUUGUACUGCUGCUGAAAAGAACUGUUCAUCUAGCUCAUGGCUUUUGAAGGGAGAGUCCUUUCAGCAAACUUUYGGAGGGAACAGCUGCUCAUAGUGAAAACAAGACUGUCCUGCUGAUCCAAGCUGAAAUGUGACAUGGAAGUGGGAUUUUUGACCUUGAAAGGUGCAAAGUCGCUCAAAGGAGGGACCCUGUGAAGAUUAAAAGUAACUAGAUCUUUAUAAUGCUUCUGCAACUGCUAGAGCUGGAUGAGUAUGUUGCAAAACAAAAGGCCAAAUCCUUAAAUAGUGCAAACUUGCACAAGUCUUUUGAUGACCUCUCAGCUGAGGAAC
rnacentral:lncRNA from 1 species